GCCAUUUUGUUGCACGUGCUGCUGCAAACUUUGCAGUGCAAAGCCAGGCCGGGGAGCCAUCUUAAGUUGAGGCUUCAUAGGCCUUGUGGUGCAUGUGAUUCAGAUUCUAUUCAGUUGAACCUCUGGUUACAAAGUUGGUUGGACAGUGUUCUCGAAGCUACCAGCAUGAGUUUGACCAGACUGCAGGAGGACAGGAAGACUGGAGUGCCUGGAACAGGU